rnacentral:misc_RNA from 1 species
AUUAUAAUCAAGCUCAUUUCUUAUCACAUUACCAUGAAUUUAUUUUCCAAUAUUCAAGAGCGUCAAUUCAGUGACACAUAUAAAACAAUCAACAAAAUGAACUAAAACAAAAUGAACUAAUGGGUACUGAGAAUAAAGAAAUGAACCAAAUUCAAUUGGAUCCUAAAAAGCACAAACAAAAUAGUUGAUUCUUUUCUAUCAUAUAAAUUUUCCAAAACAAACACCCAAACUAAGAUAAAUUGGAUUUGAAUAAUCAUUUGUUGCUGCAACCAAAAAGCCCGUAGCCGUCCUCCUUUCCCUCCCGUCCAUACAGCUCCACCAUCUUCCUCGUUGAUGGAAUUGCUGGAAUUUCGGUCAGAAAUUGCAGAACCAAUAUCGACAAGAAAUUGCAGAAACAAUUGCAUAAAUUGCAGAUGGAAACGAAUACUGACAAGAAAUUUGAAACCAGAAAUUUCCUUCUUCUUCAAUUCAUAACCCAUUCAAGUUCAACCAACUUCAACACAGACCAAAACCCAUAACCCAAAACUCCAUAUAUGCGUAAAAUGUGAUGAAAACAUUCUUCCAAAAAUCAUAAGCUUUUCACUAGAAUUCAAUCAAUAUAUGUUAUGAAGAAACGAAUAAGAACACCAGAAUGCAAAACACCAUUGAUUUCCGGGAGAGUCCAACAGCUUUAUUGAGGUCGAAAUCAAGGGAUCUCUAUGGUGGGUUGAUCUCAUGUUGGUUCAAAUCACUUGUUGAUGAUUCACCAUUAGUGUUAUAAAAAUACCGCUCACAUCACAGGCUGAAAGGGAAACCUCACAGCAUCAGAUGGGUGGAGAUUAAGAUCCAAUAGUGAGGUUGAAUCCAUCACCAGUGCUCGAUGACUCCAUGGUGUGGAUGAUCCCUUCAUUAGAGUCCAGUGGUUCUUAAUUGUGUAAUCAGUCUGGUAGUUGAGGAGGCGGAUGAUGGUGGCCCACUUGUGCCGAAGAAAGAAGAGAAGGCUGAUUGGACAUAGGGAUUGAGAUGGGAGUGAAGCAAGGACAUUGAAGGGAAGAAGCCAUGGAGAGAGGCCGUUGGGUUAUCAGUUAAUUAAAAUAUUAUGAAUUUAAUCAAGGGUAAUAGGGUCAUUUCAUUCUCCACUAACGACAUUCUUU